GCUGGCGCGGGGCGAGGUUAACCGAAAGGGAGCCGGAGCGAAAGCGAGCCUUAACAGGGCGACUUGAGUCCCGCGCCGCGGACGCGAAGCCGGGUGAGCUAUCCGUGGGCAGGCUGAAGCGGGGGUAAGACCCCGUGGAGGGCCGAACGCACGUCGGUUGAAAACGGCGGCGAUGACCUGCGGAUAGGGGUGAAAGGCCAAUCAAACCCGGAGAUAUCUCGUUCUCCCCGAAAUAGCUUUAGGGCUAGCGUCGCGCGUUCACCGCCGGAGGUAGAGCACCGGAUGGACGAGGGGGCUUCGCCGCCUACCGAAUCCAACCGAACUCCGAAUGCCGGCGGCCCAGAGCGCGGCAGUCAGAGCAUGUGGGCUAAGCUGUGUGCUCGAGAGGGAAACAGCCCGGACCGCCCGCUAAGGUCCCCAAGUUCCAGCCGAGUGGCAAAGGAUGUGCGUCCGCCCAGACAACCAGGAUGUUGGCUUAGAAGCAGCCAUCCAUUCAAAGAGUGCGUAACAGCUCACUGGUCGAGUGGACAUGCGCCGACAAUACACGGGGCUAAGCUGGACACCGAAGCGGCGGGAUUUUAUUUAUUAGAAUCGGUAGGGGAGCUUCCCAUGGGCGGAGAAGCCGGAGGGCGACCGACGGUGGAGCGCAUGGGAGUGAGAAUGCUGGCAUGAGUAGCGAGAGACGAGAGAGUAACUCGUCCGCCGUGAACCCGAGGUUUCCUGGGCAAGGCUAAUCCUCCCAGGGUCAGUCGGGGGCUAAGGCGAGGCCGGUAGGCGUAGCCGACGCGCAGCAGGCAGACAUUCCUGCACCGCGCACGCGGCGCUACGACCGACGGGGCGACGGAUGGGGGUGGCUCGGCGGGGUUCUGGACGUCCCCGUGAUGGAGCGCGGCCCGCGGACCAGGGAAAUCCGGUCCGCAGAAGGGCGAGGCUCCGGACGAAGCGACUGAGCGAAGCGAGUGAGCCCGAGGUCCCUAGAAAAACCCCUAGGCAGGCGCGUGCGCGCCCGUACCGCAAACCGACACAGGUGGGUGGGUAGAACAUACCGAGGCGAUCGGGUCAACCAUGGUCAAGGAACUCGGCACAAUGGCCCCGUAACUUCGGGAGAAGGGGUGCCCGCGCGUACGUGAACCGGCUUGCCCGGGGAGCGGAGGCGGGCCGCAGUGGAGAGGCCCAAGCGACUGUUUACCAAAAACACAGGACUCUGCAGAAGCCGCAAGGCGACGUAUAGGGUCUGACGCCUGCCCGGUGCCGGAAGGUCACGCGGAGGAGUUAGCGCAUCGCGCGAAGCCCCGAAGCCAAGCCCCGGUAAACGGCGGCCGUAACUAUAACGGUCCUAAGGUAGCGAAAUUCCUUGUCGGGUAAGUUCCGACCUGCACGAAAGGCGCAACGACUUGGGCGCUGUCUCGACCAUGGACCCGGUGAAAUUGCACUGGUCGUGAAGAUGCGACUUACCCGCGGAAGGACGGAAAGACCCCGUGAACCUUCACUGCAGCUUGGCAUUGGCCGCUGGUCCCGCGUGUAGAGGAUAGGCAGGAGGCAUCGAUCCGGAGGCGCCAGCCCCCGGGGAGCCGCCCUUGGAAUACUGCCCUCGCGCGACCGGCGUCCUAACCCGAGGCCGUCAACCGGCUCGGGGACCGUGCCAGGCGGGCAGUUUGACUGGGGCGGUCGCCUCCUAAAGGGUAACGGAGGCGCGCGAAGGUCCGCUCGGGACGGUCGGCAACCGUCCUUUUGAAUGCAAGAGUACAAGCGGGCUUGACUGCGAGGCCCACAAGCCGAGCAGGUGCGAAAGCAGGCUCUAGUGAUCCGGCGGCCCCGAGUGGGUGGGCCGUCGCUCAACGGAUAAAAGGUACUCCGGGGA
rnacentral:rRNA from 1 species